rnacentral:rRNA from 1 species
GGAUUAGAUACCCUGGUAGUCUACGCCGUAAACGAUGUACACUUGGUGUCUGUUGUUUUGACGAUAGGUGCCGUAGCUAACGCGUUAAGUGUACCGCCUGGGGAGUAUGCCGGCAACGGUGAAACUCAAAGGAAUUGACGGGGGCCCGCACAAGCGGUGGAGCAUGUGGUUUAAUUCGAUGAUACGCGAGGAACCUUACCAGGGUUUGACAUAUACGUGACAUUCCUAGAGAUAGGAUUUUCUCUUUUGAGACAUGUAUACAGGUGCUGCAUGGUUGUCGUCAGCUCGUGCCG